GGAUGACUGUCUCUCUGCGUUUUGUUUAGCAGUUUGCUUGAUAAAGAUCUUAACCAAUGUGUUAGUCCGUUGAAAGAUGCGAAUGGAUUGUUUGAGAGUGUGAAGUGCAACUGGCACAUUCUGCGAAUACGUAAUGUUAACCAGUCUGAGUGGACAACACAAGACCCUCUGAGGCUCCUCAGGCUCUUCUCCACCUCAAUACAGAUCAACUCCCCUGACUGUGCAAAGUUUCAUCAGCAGCAGCUCCCUGUGCAGAUGACUCAACGCUGCACAUUGCAAGAACACUCAGAUAUCUUGGUUAUCUUUAUCAUAAUGUGUGAAGUUAUGAUUUUGGCUGUUGCAUAACACUUUUGGGAGCUGUGAUUUUGCAUAAUUAUUAUCAUAUUUCUAAUUAAAAGUAUAUUCCGUUGUCAUAUUUAUUAAAAUAACCAAGGUCCAA